UACGAAGGGGGCUAGCGUUGCUCGGAAUGACUGGGCGUAAAGGGCGCGUAGGCGGAUGGCACAGUCAGAUGUGAAAUUCCUGGGCUUAACCUGGGGGCUGCAUUUGAGACGUGUGAUCUGGAGUGAGGAAGAGGGUUGUGGAAUCCCCAGUGUAGAGGUGAAAUUCGUAGAUAUUGGGAAGAACACCGGUGGCGAAGGCGGCGACCUGGUCCUUAACUGACGCUGAGGCGCGAAAGCGUGGGGAGCAAACAGG
rnacentral:rRNA from 1 species